GUUGUUCUUCAACUACAGAAACUUU
rnacentral:tRNA from 1 species